ACGGAGGGUGCAAGCGUUGUUCGGAAUCACUGGGCGUAAAGGGCGCGUAGGCGGCGCGGUAAGCGUGCGGUGAAAGCCCGGGGCUCAACCCCGGGUCGGCCGUGCGGACUGCCGGGCUCGAGCACUGUAGAGGCGGGUGGAAUUCCGGGUGUAGCGGUGGAAUGCGUAGAGAUCCGGAAGAACACCGGUGGCGAAGGCGGCCCGCUGGGCAGUGGCUGACGCUGAGGCGCGACAGCGUGGGGAGCAAACAGGA
rnacentral:rRNA from 1 species